GUGGAUGUAGCUCAAUGGUUAGAGCGCUGGCCUGUGGAACCAGAGGUUGCGGGUUCAAGUCCCGUCAUCCACC
rnacentral:tRNA from 1 species